rnacentral:rRNA from 1 species
GACGAACGCUGGCGGCGCGCUUAACACAUGCAAGUCGAGCGAAGCGGCGGACGGGUGAGUAACACGUGAGUAACCUGCCUUAGACAUUGGGAUAGCCUCGGGAAACAGGGAUUAAUACCAAAUGGUCUAAGAUGGACUCGCGUCCCAUUAGCUCGUUGGUGAGGUAACGGCCCACCAAGGGGACGAUGGGUAGCCGGCCGGAGAGGGUGAACGGACACAUUGGAACUGAGAAACAGUCCAAACUCUACGGGAGGCAGCAGUGGGGAAUAUUGCACAAUGGAGUGAACUCAGAUGCAGCGACGCCGCGUGAACGAAGAAGGCUGUCGAGUCGUAAAGUUCUUUUAUAUGGGAAGCGGUACCAUAAGAAAAAGCCCCGGCUAACUACGUGCCAGCCGCCGCGGUAAUAC